AGUCUAUACCCAUGUAUUCGGGUUACUUCCAUCUGUUAAAGAAAAAGAUAAAAAGAAAAGCGAAGGGAACUCAGAUUAAGGCUUAUCACAUCUAAGAUAGCUUUACGAAAAAACACGGACACAUCUGAACCGUUAGAUAUGAGCCAAGCAAAUAUUUACUAAUUCUUUUGGAAGGGCUAGGGUUCGGAGGAUUCUCAUGAUGUUCGGUUAGGGUUUUCUCAUAACACGGAGAAGUGAGCUGUGAAUAUUUGUAGCUGGCUAUAUAUCCACCUUUCCUUGAAUGAUUCAAUACGAGAAACGAUUUAUUGCGCGUUUAAUCACAUGUAUCAAAGGUACUUAUGGCACUUAACGACAUCACUUGUUAGCUUCACGCUAUCAUCCAUUCCGCAACACUUAAAACGCCAUGAAACCUGAAAAGUUCAUUUUUAAAUAUUGUCCUCUCCCAUACAGUUAUGAGACCAAAAAUCUUUAAUCAACAAAUGAACUGUGUGUAGUUAGAAUUUUGGUUACAACUUACGGGUUUCCAAAUGCAUUAUGGUCAGCACAUAACAUUAAGUGAAGUAGCCAUUAAAGUCCAAUCUUGCCGCCACACUUACUCUCUGUAUCUAUAGUUUUGAUUCUUAAAAUAUACCAUUCCACUUUAGCCUAACAGUUAGGUGGCUUCUUGUUUA